rnacentral:rRNA from 1 species
GACGAACGCUGGCGGCGGGCUUAACACAUGCAAGUCGAACGGAAAGGCCCUGCUGUUGUGGGGUGCUCGAGUGGCGAACGGGUGAGUAACACGUGAGUAACCUGCCCUUGACUGGGGGAUAACUUCAGGAGACUAGGGCUAAUACCGGAUAGGAGCUCCGGCAGCAUGGUGGGGGUUGGAAAGGUUCGGCGGUUGGGGAUGGACUCGCGGCUUAUCAGCUUGUUGGUGGGGUAGUGGCUUACCAAGGCGUUGAAGGGUCGCCGGCCUGGGAGGGUGACCGGGCACAUUGGGACUGCGAUACGGCCCAGACUCGUAUGGGAGGCAGCAGUGGGGAAUAUUGCACAAUGGGCGGAAGCCUGAUGCAGCAACGCCGCGUGCGGGAUGACGGCUUUCGGGUUGUAAACCGAUUUCGCCUGUGACGAAGCGUGAGUGACGGUAAUGGGUAAAGAAGCACCGGCUAACUACGUG